AAAUCGAGCUGUUUCCACAUUGUUUUAUGUUAUGAUUUCUCUUACAUGCUUAGAUUGAAGUUCUGUUACAGAAAGCUGCAGUUGAACCCAUUAUUCAGGCGUUUACUGUUGGAAAUGACACUUGAUUUAAGGAUGAUCUGCAAUUAUGUGAACAAGUGAAAUUUUAUUGCCUCACUGACAGAUUUGUUUACUUGUUUCAGACCAAACAAUCGCCCUCCCACGAAGAUGACAGAUCGACUGUAGUCCUGCCAGUCGUCUCCCUCUCAUGAAAUCGUCUGGACCUCUGACCUAAAAGCCUCCUACCCUGUACUUUAACCCAACAGCCUCUGAAAACCUCUGUUCCUAUUUAUACCACACACAGCUGAACAUUACUGCUCGUUAAACCCGCUCUUGUGGCGCACAGCGAGCUUGUUAGCAAUUUGUUUGGGGGAAGAGUUAUCAGACAGUAAACUGUACAUGAAUUUGGAUAUUCCUUUGAUCUUCGCUGCAUGCAAAUCAUAAUCGCAAGUUAUUCAAAUCAUGUAAUGUCUUUAUAAUAUAGAGAGUCCUGUGUUGAAGGCAUCAACGUCAGUUUGGUUCAGAGCCUGAUAUGAUCAUGAAUACUGGCCUGAUUUCAAGUACAUUUGCUGUGGAUGGUUAUGUUUAAUGAAUCCUAAAGUGUUAUGAUGAUCUCCUUUUCCUCUAAUGGCAUAAACAGGACAAAUUAUUCCUCUUGCACGCAUGUACGUAGAUGGAGCCGCCAGUAGGUCUUCAAGACAUUUUUGUGUUUAAUGUGUUAUUUUCUUUGUCUUUAUUGCUGAAACACAUAUGACAGAAACAGACUACAGUCACUCGAAAGGGAAGUGUGGGGUUUGGAUUAAAGAGCAGCAGACUAAGAGACCACGGCGGGUGCUGUUGCCCCAAGAGGAGAGGAAGAGAGCAGGAGCCAUGCUAAUGUCCGGUCUGGACGAAGUGGGACUGGCCAAACAAAGGGGAAUCAGAGAUUCACAUCCUUACUGAGACCUACUCCAUCACCAUCCAAACACUCGAAGGGUGGACUGCGUUCAGAGCCGACAGAGUGCAGGACGAGAGGAGGCGGACUCUGAUGAAAUCACCACUAUCUUCCUUACUGACUAUCAAUAAGCAGGAAUUAGGAGGUUAUUGAUGGAAAACUUGUAGUACUUGUUGUAGAAUCACCCAGAAUGAGGCAUCAGUAAGCGCUUUAUAAUUUAGAGUUAAUAUGCUACUAAUAUAGAUGCUAGCAGGCUACUAGUUAAUGGUGAAUAUAAAUUGUUACUAAAGUACAUAUUAUAUUAUAUAUUAAUUAUAUAUUAGGGAUUAUAUAUGAGAUUAUGUGGCAGCAAUCUGAGAUUUAAAACACGAAAAAAGAGUUUUUCUAAACUGUCAGUUAAACGUUUGUUUUAAGCUAUUUGGUUAAAAGCUUUAGUCAUAGUUUAAAUAAGAACAAAACAUUUCCAGCAAUGUUAUUGUUCGUCUCAGUAGAAAACUUGCUUUCAUGAGUUGGGAAUUGAACCCAGGUCACUGAAAUUGAAAGCACAUGUGUCCGACCAAACAAGGAUGUUAUCGCACAAGUUGUAUCAGUAAAUCUGCCUCAAUGCAGAUUAGUUUGCUUUAGAUCUCUUGAUUAACACACCAAUUUAUCUCCAUCUUAAAAAUAUAUACUUUGGUUGUUUUGUAGGUUGAUUUUGUGAGUGUUAAUUGGAUGAAGAUUAAAAGAGCAGCACCAGUAUGUUAAUAUUGAGUUAACCCUACAUUGAGACAUCUUUGUUUUACUGUCUUUGGAAGAAGCAGGUGUUGCAUUUUUCAACUGGUGGACGUCUCAAGUUGGAAUGAAACUCCUCAUUUGUCCACGCAGUCUCGUCUUGAGCCUCAACAUCAGUAGGUUUGACUUCACAUGUCGAGGUCAAAGCGCUUCAGAAGAUGAAUGAUUUGCCGGCAUCUCUGCGGCCCAUGCAGCCGUCCGCUCCUUCAGAGUUGUUUGAAGUGGAAACAUUUUUCUGCCGUCCUGUCAGCAGCAACGUGCAGCAAGAUCACAAAUCAGGAGUUAAAAUAAAUAAAGCUUUCUCCUCCUGCGAGCUUCAGCCGAUCCGGAGACGAUUAAAGUCUAUUUGUUACAGUGGAGGAAUCUGAAGAUGAGUUAAAGUGUGUGUUUAUGGGUGGGUGUACAUGUGUGAACAAACCCUUUGUUAAACUGCUUGAAACAACUCAGCAGAGUAUUAAUUCACUAAAGCUUGAACCUGUUGUAAACAAGUCUGAACCUAUCGUCACAGAUCGGUUUGUGGAGUCCCGUUUUGAAGCCUUGACAGUUUGUUGGAGCCAGCGGAGGUGACGUACCUCGAGUUGAGCUGCUCUCAUUGGCUGCGCAGUUUGACUCAUCUGUACCAUGAAACGACGGCGGCUCGCCUGGUCACACAUGAUCUCUUAUUCCAGGUGCUGACAGGAUGAUUGGUUUCCACCUGUGCAGUCCGACCUUGCUGCUCAUUGGCUCAACUAAUCUUAAGAUGGCCAAUCACAGUGGCAAGACCUCAAUAAAAGACAGCUCACUUUGACUCUGCUGUUUUGUGUGUGUGGACAUUUAUUUUGUGCAGCUCCAGAGCCGAAUGAGAGCCAGGCUUUAUUAACCCUGACUCGACAGAUAAAGCAUCAUAUUUCAUGUUCUUAUGUUUGCAUUUGCAUUAUUUUUAUUAGACUGCAUUAAAAUACAACAGGUAGGCUGCAUAUUAAUACUCUAACAAUAAAUUAACACAUAUUUUUACAAUCAUUGAUGUGAUAUUGUUACUUUUAUAUUGUGUUUAUCGGGAAUAAAUGAAGGCAAAUAAAAAUAUAAUUAAAGUGAAUAA